UCAGCCUCUGACUCUCAGAGUCAGGGCCUCCAGGCUCUCCCCCGGAGCCCACUGUUUGUCUUUGACUCAGGGGGAGGUAAUUACAGACUCCUGCUCUCUAAGCCAAACCUUAGCCCCUCUGCAAAUCUCCCCUUUGUUUAAAGGCUCUGCAGAAGAGGCCAAGGGCAGUUGAUCUCCAUGGAAACAGCAGCAUCUUCCAGGAGGUCGGGUUUAAAGCCACAUAGAUCUCAGCCCUGGAUUUAAACAAGUGUUUCUUCACUCUCACUUAGACCUGACCCUGCUCCAGUCAAGUCAAGGAGAGUUUUGCCCUUUGUUUCAGUGAGGGCAGGACUGAGGCCUCAAGAAGCAGGAUUCGAUACAGAUAAUCUGCGAACGUUUAGCAGGAAAGCGGGGCUGACUGCUCCGAGCCUGGGGGUUGGCCCACCUCAGCCCACUAGACUCCUAGGUUUGAGCUCCAGGAAUGGUGGCUUACCCUUUAAUUCCCCAUCCAAGGAGGUGACUGCAAUUCUUUGUUCCACUGCAUCAUUCAUCAUCACCUGGCGAUGGAGAUAGAGCCACUGAUAUGUGCAAAUCCUCCUGGACUCACUCUGGCAGUGACACUAGACUGGUCAGUUUCACUUUCUGGUUCUCCUGCCUUAGACUAACCAGUUGUAUUUGGAUUGCAAAGACUGCUGAAGAAAGUUUGUUACAUGAAAAUAAUAAAAACCUACACAAACAAAACCCAGUCCCAACUGGGCCAGACAUCUGGAUAUUUCAAAAGCCAACCCCUUUGCUUGGAGAACUCAUCAUCAUCCAGUCUCCAUCAAGGUACCUUCCAGUCCUACUUCUCCUGCCAACAAAAAACUUCCACCCCCAACGAGCAGCACUUGUAUUCUCAGCUGCAGAGUGCUCCUGCAGGCAACAUGCUGUUUACACUGGCACUUAUCAUGGCAAAACUUUUGUUGUUCAAUUAGGGAGCCAGGAGCUCUUUCCACUCUGAAGUGUUUGGCUACAGGCUUACGCAUGCACAGAGGGUCCUGCAGGACGGGGCCCGAGCUGCUUAACUCCUACCCUCCUCCGGCUGCAGGUUCUGAUUCCACUGGGGAAACAUGGAAGUGGCAGACCCACCCCCUGUCAAUCAACCCCUGUGCUUCCCAGAGACAAAGGGUUAACUCCCCGUUCAGCUCUCCCAGGCGGUGGAAGUCCCAGUGGGGCAAGGACCUAGCCAUCCGGUAGCCAGCAGGGGCAGAACCAUGGAGUUGGUAGAGCUACUGAAAGGCCAGGCUGUUUGCAUCUUUCAUUCUGUGUUCAAAUACCAGGAGUUUUGACCAGCCAAGGCUAUUUCAUUGCCCACUCCACAGCUUCAUCUCCUCUGUCCACACCAGAAGCCUCAUGACCGCGCCCCCUAGCUCGGCUGGCAAGUCUGCACCGGCCUCCACAUCCUCCCUGACGUGAGUUUGCUGCAAUAAAAGUUCCUGCUGGCCUGUCAAGACACGAAGACCAGACAGAGCCUGAAAGCAGCUUUCCUGCUUGUUAGAUGUGAAACCAGACCCUGCUUUUUAACAGUAAAAUAGGACAG